UCAAACUUGGUCAUUUAGAGGAAGUAAAAGUCGUAACAAGGUCUCCGUAGGUGAACCUGCGGAGGGAUCAUUCGUGACUUGGCCCCUCGGGGCCGCCGUCAUCCAGCCCGUGGACCGAGCGAGUGCUUUGGCGCGUCGUCGCCGGGCCCCCAAUGCUCUAUGCCUGAAUUGAGUCGGUUUUUAUGCCUGAAAAACUUUCAACAAAGGAUCUCUUGGCUCUCACAUCGAUGAAGAACGCAGC
rnacentral:misc_RNA from 1 species